AACGGCCAUACUAUGCUGAAUAUACCGGUUCUCGUUAGAAAGCAUCAUUGGGCGCGGUCAGUACUUGGGUGGGUGACCACCUGGGAACACCGCGUGCCGUU